rnacentral:rRNA from 1 species
GAGGGAAACGUUACUGAUAAUACUGGAUAAGUUAGUAUAUCGCAUGAUAUGCAAAUGAAAGCUACGGCACUAAAGGAGAGCUUUGCGUCCUAUUAGCUAGUUGGUAAGGUAAGAGCUUACCAAGGCGAUGAUAGGUAGCCGGCCUGAGAGGGUGGACGGCCACAAGGGGACUGAGAUACGGCCCUUACUCCUACGGGAGGCAGCAGC